rnacentral:rRNA from 1 species
GUCUCAGUUCGGACUGUGGUCUGCAACCCGACCACACGAAGCUGGAAUCGCUAGUAAUCGCGAAUCAGAAUGUCGCGGUGAAUACGUUCCCGGGUCUUGUACACACCGCCCGUCACACCAUGGGAGUCAGCAACGCCCGAAGUCAGUGACCUAACCGAAAGGGAGGAGCUGCCGAAGGCGGGGCCGGUAACUGGGGUGAAGUCGUAACAAGGUAAC